rnacentral:rRNA from 1 species
AUGAAUAACAACAGGGCCCCUGGUCCUGACAACAUUCCAGCGGAAUUUUAUCAACACUAUUGGGAGAUUGUGAAGGGUGAUAUUAUGAGACUUUUUGAGGCCAUGUAUGAGGGUACACUCGAUGUUCAAAGGUUAAACUACGGGAUCAUUACUUUGAUUCCUAAGAUCAAUGGUGCGAACAAAAUCCAACAGUUUAGGCCUAUUUGCUUGCUUAGAUGCCCAUAUAAGUUGAUCACAAAGGUGUUAGACAACAGAGCAGCCCCUUAUGUUGACAUCCUGUUUAGCAAACACCAAAAUGCCUUUAUUAAACACAGGAGUAUCAUGGAUGGGGUUCUCACUUUGCAUGAGAUUUUGCACCAUACUCAUGUUAAGAAGAGAGUUGGCAUCAUUAUCAAGCUUGAUUUUGAAAAAGCUUACGAUAAGGUGAAUUGGGAUUUCUUGCUUAAGUGUCUAGAGAUCAGAGGCUUUGGCAAGACUUGGUGCAGUUGGAUGGAGAAAAUCCUCCACAAUGGCACGGUUAGUGUGAAGUUAAAUAAUACCUCGGGGCCUUACUUCCAAAGCCACAAAGGGGUGCGGCAAGGGGAUCCGGUGUCCCCUUUCUUGUUCAAUAUUGCUGCCGAGUGCUUGUGUAAGAUGGUAUUGCAAGCACAAGCAAACGGGUUGAUUGAUGGGUUGGCCUCGGAUUUGGUAGAUAAGGGAGUGGCCAUUCUGCAAUAUGCAGAUGACACAAUCCUGUGCAUUGAACAUAACCCUGAAAAAGCGCUCAACCUGAAACUGUUGUUGUAUAUGUUCGAACUCAUGUCAGGACUGAAAAUUAACUUUUAA